UAGCAUGUUUCCAGUGGCCGUGGUUGACUAUGGCCAUAGGAUCUCCAGUUGUACGUGAGAGCAACCUGGGGCAGCUCUGACAGCACAGGUCUGCGUAACAUCUACCUGCAUCUGCUAGAAUGGCUCAAGGGGA
ensembl:snoRNA